UCGAGAAUUUUUCACAAUGGGCGAAAGCCUGAUGGAGCGACGCCGCGUGGGGGAUGAAUGGCUUCGGCCCGUAAACCCCUGUCAUUUGCGAUCAACCGUUAUUAUUUAAAAGAUGAUAACCUGAUAGUAGCGAAAGAGGAAGGGACGGCUAACUCUGUGCCAGCAGCCGCGGUAAUACAGAGGUCCCAAGCGUUGUUCGGAUUUACUGGGCGUAAAGGGUGCGUAGGUGGCGGUGUAAGUCGGAUGUGAAAUCUCCGAGCUCAACUCGGAAACUGCAUUGGAAACUACAUUGCUCGAGGGUUGGAGGGGGGACUGGAAUACUUGGUGUAGCAGUGAAAUGCGUAGAUAUCAAGUGGAACACCAGUGGCGAAGGCGAGUCCCUGGACAACUCCUGACACUGAGGCACGAAAGCUAGGGGAGCAAACAG
rnacentral:rRNA from 1 species